UUUAGAGGUUUGUUUUAGAUGUUUUGGUAAUUUUAGUUACCUUUUGCAUUAUGAGCAUCAGAUUAAUUUCGCUAUGUUGAUCUUUCUGAAAUUGUGUGAUCUUUAUUUCGGUUGUUGAGCACUAUUUCCCUUAUGGGUUAUAGGGGUUAGAUUGAUUUAAUGAUGUGACAAAUUAUUCAGACACAAUUAUAUCCGAUUAAGAGUUAAGUUUUCUUGUUACAUUAGAAGUUAUGAUAUUUUUAAUGAGUUAGGAUUUUUAUUUUAGACUGUGUUUUCUUAGGUGGGGAGUGCUUUUGUGUAAUAAUUGUGUUAUAACAUUUUUGCUUUGUUUAAAAAUCUAUGUAAAUAGCUCUUGUUAAUUAACUUGCUGAGCAUUUAUUAUUGGUGUAUGAGUAAGUAAAAUCAUUUCCUUUUUUCUUGUUGCUGGUCUGACUGUUUAUCAAAAACAUUUCUUCUUUUUUAAGAGGUAGGCCCUGCUCCAUGAGUUUUUAAAUAGCCGCAUUAGCCUGAGUGUGUUAAGGUAGCAUAAUUAGUAGCCUUCUAAUUGGGGGAUUGUUUGAAUGGGUUAACAUGACUAGUUAUUUAGAUGGGAUUGUUUUCUGAAAUUAAUAGGCUAGUACAGAAUCUGGCGUUAUUAAUUGGGACGGAAAGACCCUAGGAGGUUAAUAAUUUAUUAUUUGGUUCGGGCCAUUAUAAUUUGUUUAAUUUCGUUUUGAUCCAUUUGCAUUCGAUUAAAGUUACCCUAGGGAUAACAGAGUAAGAGGCAAGAAGAGUUCAUAUCGUUUUGUUUAGUUGCUACCUCGAUGUUGACUUAAAAUUUAAUGUGUGCCGUAGAAGGUUCAUUUAGAGGUCUGUUCGACCUAUGUGGUUUUUCAUGAGUUGAGUUAAGACCGAUGUAAAUCAGGUUGGUUCCUAUCUAAUGUUGCAGCAGUCUCGUACGAAAGGAUGGAAUGCUUUUUAUAUUU
rnacentral:rRNA from 1 species